AUGGCGGUGCUUCCGGUCCCGAUGCCCUCAGCGAAGAUGGCGGCAGUGGAGAAGCGGCGGCCAGCGGUAGCACCACCGGCUGGUUUCACGGACAGCGGCCGCCAGUCGGUAUCCCGGGCGGCGGGGGCGGCCGAGAGCGAGGAGGACUUCCUGCGGCAGGUCGGCGUGACGGAGAUGCUACGGGCGGCCCUGCUGAAGGUGCUGGAGGCGCGGCCCGAGGAACCGAUCGCCUUCCUGGCCCACUACUUCGAGAACAUGGGCUUGCGCUCGCCUGUAAAUGGCGGCGCCGGGGAGCCCCCGGGCCAGCUCCUGCUGCAGCAGCAGCGCCUGGGCCGCGCACUGUGGCACCUUCGCCUGGCCCACCACUCCCAGAGGGGCCAGAUGCCCCAGACAGACACCUUUUGGUUGAUUGAACAGACAUUUACUGAGCGCCUACUGUGUGCAGGGCAGUGUUCCAGGCACCAGGGCUGUAACCAAGACGAACUUCCCGCCCUGGGGGGCAGGUGCUCAUGCUCUGGUGGGAGAUGCGAAGCUCACAGGGAUGUGGGACAGGGAGUGACACAGCAUGACCAUGAGGAAGAAAACAGGAAGAAAGGAGUUAGGGGUCAGGGGAGGUGACGUUUGAGGGGAGACCUGGAGGAGACCAGGGAGGAGGUGAGGGAGAUCUGGGGAAAGGCAGUGUCACUGCCCUUGCAGAGGUCCUGAGGCCGGUCCGUGGUUGGAGCUGGGAAGCCAAGGCUGGAUGGGAGCUGUGGGGAGGAGAGGCCUGAGCUGGGUGGAGGCUGGGAGGAGGCUGGAAGGAGGGAGGCCAAGCUGGGUAGGGGCUGGGAGGAAGGAGCCCUGGGCUGGGGGGUGCUGGGAGGAGGGAGACCAGGCUGGGUGGGAGCUGGGAGGAGGAGGCCCAGGCUGGGUAGGUGGUGGGAGGAGGGAGGAGGCCCAGGC
rnacentral:lncRNA from 1 species